GGAAAAGAGAGAGAUAGAGAGGGAGAGAGAGAGAGCUUGUGGUUCCUCCUUGUCUUUGUGCGUGUGUGUGUGUGAGUGUGUGUGUCUGUGUGUGUGUGUGUGUGUGUGUGUGUGUGUAUGUGUGUGGGAUGACUAGGCUGAUGACAUCACUGCAUUCCAUGAACUCUCCGUCUCUCUCUCCUUCUUGAGUGUAUACCUCUCUCUUCCUUUUCUUUCUUCUCUCUCUCCUUCUGUGUCUUGCUCCCUUUCCUCUUCUUCUGCUCUCUCUCUUUCUCUCCCCUUCUCUGGGUUUCUCUCUAUUCCCUCUUUUUUUCUUCAUUCUUUCCUUCUUCUGUGUGUCUCAGACAAACAAAGCACACUGUGGGAUUAGUAAGUGGGCAGAAAGGACUUCCUGAUUUCCAGAAAAUCUCAAAGAAAGAGACUCUUUCGUUACAGAAAGAAAAAAAAAAUACAUAAAUAGAUAUUCAUGUAAUGUAAUAAUAACUAUUAUUAGAGUACAAUUCUUAUAUUCACUUAAUGUUCUUGGGGCCAAAUCCACAAAAGUACCUUUAGGACAAAAUACUUUGCAAUUGUGUUUCUUUAUAGGCCUAAUCACCAAAAUAUCUUAACGGUAAUAUGUUUUUCCUUAAAUUAUUAUUUACAAAAAAAGAUAAUAGUAAGAUUGUCAUUCUUGAAAACGAUUACCUUUAAUUUCUUCUAAAUAUUUUUAACUUUAAGAUAAAGCUUCCUUGACUUAAGAUGCCAAAUUGAUUAGUGAUAUAUUCUUGCUUUUAAUUGGUAGUAUUUCCGUUUUAAUUUAUUCUAUUCACAAUGUGUGCUGCUAUCUCAUUGUGAGGUGCGGCCACUCACUUAUUCAAAUUUGGCUUGGUAUUGUAAUUAUAUGGAAAUAAACAUUGUUUAGGCUACUACCCUAUAUGCUAAAUACUCACAGGCCGCGCAUAGCUAGAAUCCCCUUGCCAUAGGGGUCUCAGACAGAUUAAAGAACAUCCACUGUCAAAUGAAUAGAAAAAUAGAAGAAUCCAAUCCAAAACAGAAUACAAUCUACCGAUUAUCUUUGGUUCAUAAGUGACUUACACCAUAAAGAAGUUAUUAAGGUAAUUAAAGUUUAUUUAUUUUUCAGCAAUUGCAGUUAAGGAUAUUCUUAUAAACUUGGUUUUAAUUCCUUUUAGGAAUCUGAGAACUAUCAUUGCAACUUUUGUGUAUCUGGCCCCAUUGUCAUUUUAUAUUAUUAAAUAUUAAUGUUGGGUAAGCAGAACGGUCGAUGUAGUUGGUACAAGUUGUGGACGGUAAUCUUGGUUUGUUUACUGCAUACGUUUCUUUGCUUUUUUAAUAAUCACAAAGUUGUUGUCUAUAUUUUGAUGUUGUAGUGUAAGAUUUAGCAGUUUUUUUUGUAGGCCUAUUUGUUAAUGUGUUAGACAUUAACAUAUUUUUUGUUCGCUGUUGUAGAAGCAUAGACUGGACUAUCUUUAUGUUUAUUGGUAGAAUUACUAAGUGAACACCGCCAUCUAGCGGCCUCUGGUGUGAAACGGCAUAAAAGUAAAAUCUAAAUCUAAUGAAAUAGAAUAAUGUAAGACAAAAUACUACACUGACAACAGUAAUAAAGGAAAAAGGACGGCAAUGGUUAAGAAACACAGUUUCAUCCUAGCCUCUGUCUAGAUGGAUGUAGGUCUAUUAUUACACAAUCAUAUGGGAAGGUUAGGUAGCCUAUUUGAUGUAAACUGCAGUAGCUCACACAACCAACACACCGUAAUGGACCACUUUCCUUCAUGCGCUGGCGAACCUUUUCCAUUUGUAACACAAAGCUUGAUGAUAUCGGGCAAGGGUCAGUGUGUUGAUCCUGCUAACUUUCAGGGGAAGUUGCUACAUUUGGGUCGUUUGUUGUUGUUCCUGACGUUGCGUUGUGAUUUCAUUGAGUUGUGACGUCAUUACUUAAUGAUGUAUGGUGCGUUCACAUCGCUGGUAAUUAUGGGGAAAACAUUUUUGCGACGUCGGAAAGUUCGCGUGAACAACACCUCAUGACACCGUUAUGAUUCUACAUCCGUUCGGCAACUCGGUCCAAAUUUUGAUAACAGAGUUGCCCAGUUGGUGACGCAUUGUUUACUAGUGAGUAGUGACGCGCGUGAACAUGGCGGAACAUGAACAUUUUACUCAAUAUAAAAGAAUCAACCAUCAUAUCACAUACCUUACUAUUGAUUGACGUUGAAACGUCUGUUGGCAUGACUUUGCUCAAUUUUAAAUGAACUGUUAAACCAGCUCUAGAUAAAGGCCUAAAUACACCGGCCCCGCAGCGCAGCGGCGCGCAUUUUACGCGUGUCAAAAGUACGCCCCUAGCACCAACAGGAGGCGGCGCGACGGCCGCGCUGCAGUAUAAAAUCAGGAAGUCACCUGUCAAUCAACCGCAGCAAAGAGACGGAACGCAAUGGAACAAAUAACUGUUGCCAGACAGAGGAGGGCUGCCCUUCUUAUCCUGCGCUGUAGGCGGGCAAGGAGAAGACGAAGGGUUUGGGUGCACCCCAUCAAUGAACGGAGACAAGAACAGGGGGUAUGCCACAAUCUGGUCCAGGAGCUCCGUGCAGAUCCUGAGAGGCACGCCAAUAUUUCAAUUCGCCACUAAGUGUGCAAUGGCAGAACCAUAUGGUGCAGCCUAUAUGAUGACCUAUAAUCUAGUUAUUAUCCCUCUCUGGUAUACUCUUUUGCAUGUGUAUAUAUAUACUUUUUUUUUAUCCCUCAGGAUAAAUACAGUGAUGUUAGUGCUGGAUUCAGUAGCCAGUGUAUUUUAAUUGAGUGCUCGAGACACUUAAUGUUAUUUUUCCUUAAAUCCAGAGAGACAGUUAAUACAUGAUCUGAUACCAGAGAGACAGUGAAUACAUGACAAUGCAUUUUUGAGCUUUGCCUGUGUUUUCUUUUACUUAUCUAUUUUAUUGCAUGAGAAUGUUUCUAUGUGAAGCACUUUGAGUCUGCUUCAUACAUGAAAAGUGCUAUAUCAAUGAAGUUUCCUUGCCUUAAAUAAAAAUAUAUAUAUUACAAGUAA